AUUGCGCAUGCGCGCGCCCCGGCGGCGCGGGUCUGGGUCUGGGUCUGGGGAUGUGGUGCCGGCUGCCGGCGACCGCCGGCAGUAGAGCGGUGGCCAGGCCGCUGGCCUUGCUCUGGCGAUGUGGUGGCCCAGGAGGUGGCAGGACGGUCAAGACCAGCGCGAGGGUCCUGGGCAGGGCCCGACAGGGUUUGAGAAAUACUUUAAGAGGAGUGGAAGGAACAAACUCAGAAACAUCAACAGCACCAAAAAAAGAGACUGGUGAACUAGAGAAUGCCGAGUCUGGAGGAGAUGGAGGCAGGAGAGGAGGGAAGCGGGAUGACGUUGCCUGGUGGAGGCGGAUGCAGAAGGGGACUUCUGCAAUCUGGCCCUUUUGGGGGCAGGCGUUGCCAUGGGAUUUUUCUACCUCUAUUUUCGAGAUCCUGGAAGAGAAAUCACUUG
rnacentral:sRNA from 1 species